rnacentral:snRNA from 2 species
UCUGUCUCUAAAUAAAUAAAUAAAACUGGAACAAUACAGAGAAGAUUAGCAUCCUGCAAGGAUGACACACAAAUUCAUGAAAAGUUCCAUAUCAAU